UUUCUGUGUGUUUAUAGAGGAAGCCCUGGCCUGUCCAGGAUCCAGCAGCUCAAAGCCAUUUGCUUUGUCUUCAGGCCACUGGCCUGGGAUUCAUAGUUGCAGCAACUCACCAGACAGGAAAGGGUGACAAAACAAAACGAGAGUAGUGACACUGGGUGACUAUGAAUACAUUUAAGAAGGUAAAUAAAGCCAGACAUGGUAGCUUAGGUCUAUAAUCCAAGUGCUUUGGGAGGUCCAGGAGGGAGGAUUGCUUGAGGCCAGGAAUUCAAGACAGGUCUGGACUACUUAGCAAUACCCCAUCUGUACGAAAAAUAAAUUUUAAAAAAGAAGGUACAUAAGACAAUAUGGAAGAUAUUGGGGAAAGUCUACACUUGAUAGCCAGUGGCAUCAUGAUAUGAGUUAUUUAUGUUCUAGAC
rnacentral:lncRNA from 10 species